GACGAACGCUGGCGGCGUGCUUAACACAUGCAAGUCGAACGGAAAGGCCCUGCUUGCAGGGUACUCGAGUGGCGAACGGGUGAGUAACACGUGGGUGAUCUGCCCUGCACUUCGGGAUAAGCCUGGGAAACUGGGUCUAAUACCGGAUAGGAGCCAUUUUUAGUGUGAUGGUUGGAAAGUUUUUUCGGUGUAGGAUGAGCUCGCGGCCUAUCAGCUUGUUGGUGGGGUAAUGGCCUACCAAGGCGGCGACGGGUAGCCGGCCUGUGAGGGUGGACGGCCACAUUGGGUCUGAGAGGCGGCCCAGACUCCUACGGGAGGCAGCAGUGGGGAAUAUUGCACAAUGGGCGCAAGCCUGAUGCAGCGACGCCGCGUGGGGUAUGACGGCCUUCGGGUUGUAAACUCCUUUCGCAAGGGACGAAGCUUUUUGUGACGGUACCUAGAUAAGAAGCACCGGCUAACUACGUG
rnacentral:rRNA from 1 species